rnacentral:rRNA from 1 species
UACGUAGGUGGCAAGCGUUGUCCGGAAUUAUUGGGCGUAAAGCGCGCGCAGGUGGUUUCUUAAGUCUGAUGUGAAAGCCCACGGCUCAACCGUGGAGGGUCAUUGGAAACUGGGGAACUUGAGUGCAGAAGAGGAAAGUGGAAUUCCAAGUGUAGCGGUGAAAUGCGUAGAGAUUUGGAGGAACACCAGUGGCGAAGGCGACUUUCUGGUCUGUAACUGACACUGAGGCGCGAAAGCGUGGGGGAGCGAACAGG